rnacentral:rRNA from 1 species
GAAUGAAGGAAAAAAUGGUUUAAUCUGUCUUGAAUUAUUAAUUGAAUUUUAAUUUUUUGUAAAAAUGCAAAAAUUCUGUUUAGGGACAAGAAGACCCUAUAAAGCUUAUUUGGAUUCUUAUGUAGUUAAUUAUAUGGAUUCAAUUUGAUUGGGGCAAUAAUUUAUAUAUAAAAAAUAUAAAUAUUUUAAAUAUAAAAAAUCUUUAACUUAAUGAUCCAUUAUUAAUGAUAAUAUGGUUAAGUUACUUUAGGGAUAACAGGAUAAUUUUUAUUAAAAAGUUCUUAUUAAUAAUAAAGUUUAUUACCUCGAUGUUGAAUUAAUUUAAUUUGAUGGUGAAGCAACUAUUUGAAUUUGACUGUUCGUCAAUUAAAUAAUUACAUGAUCUGAGUUC